UACGUAGGUGGCAAGCGUUGUCCGGAUUUAUUGGGUUUAAAGGGUGCGUAGGCGGUUCCUUAAGUCAGUGGUGAAAUACUUCAGCUCAACUGGAGAGGUGCCAUUGAUACUGGGGAACUUGAGUACUGAUGAGGUAGGCGGAAUGGACGGUGUAGCGGUGAAAUGCUUAGAUAUCGUCCAGAACACCGAUAGCGAAGGCAGCCUACUAAAGAGUAACUGACGCUGAGGCACGAAAGUGUGGGGAUCAAACAGG
rnacentral:rRNA from 1 species